GACGAACGCUGGCGGCGUGCUUAACACAUGCAAGUCGAACGGAAAGGCCCUGCUUUUGUGGGGUGCUCGAGUGGCGAACGGGUGAGUAACACGUGAGUAACCUGCCCUUGACUUUGGGAUAACUUCAGGAAACUGGGGCUAAUACCGGAUAGGAGCUCCUGCUGCAUGGUGGGGGUUGGAAAGUUUCGGCGGUUGGGGAUGGACUCGCGGCUUAUCAGCUUGUUGGUGGGGUAGUGUCUUACCAAGGCUUUGACGGGUAGCCGGCCUGAGAGGGUAACCGGCCACAUUGGGACUGAGAUACGGCCCAGACUACUACGGGAGGCAGCAGUGGGGAAUAUUGCACAAUGGGAGGAAGCCUGAUGCAGCAACGCAGCGUGCGGGAUGACGGCAUUCGGGUUGUAAACCGCUUUCGCCUGUGACGAAGCGUGAGUGACGGUAAUGGGUAAAGAAGCACCGGCUAACUACGUG
rnacentral:rRNA from 1 species